rnacentral:rRNA from 1 species
GGUAACACGAAAUCGUACCCCAAACCGACACAGGUGGUCAGGUAGAGAAUACCAAGGCGCUUGAGAGAACUCGGGUGAAGGAACUAGGCAAAAUGGUGCCGUAACUUCGGGAGAAGGCACGCUGAUAUGUAGGUGAAGCCCCUGCGGGCGGAGCUGAAAUCAGUCGAAGAUACCAGCUGGCUGCAACUGUUUAUUAAAAACACAGCACUGUGCAAACACGAAAGUGGACGUAUACGGUGUGACGCCUGCCCGGUG